UACGGAGGGUGCAAACGUUGCUCGGAAUCAUUGGGCGUAAAGCGCACGUAGGUGGCCUGUUAAGUCGGGUGUGAAAUCCCUGGGCUCAACCCUGGAAGUGCACUGGAUACGACGGAGCUGGAGUACUGAAGAGGAGAGCGGAAUUCCUGGUGUAGCGGUGAAAUGCGCAGAUAUCAGGAGGAACACCAAUGGCGAAGGCAGCUCGCUGGGACGUGACUGACGCUGAGACGCGAAAGCGUGGGGAGCAAACAGG
rnacentral:rRNA from 1 species